CUAGUAUUCCCUCCGUCCUGAAAUACUUGUCAGAGAAAUAAAUGUAUCUAGACAUAUUUUAGUUCUAAAUACAUCCAUUUUUAUCUAUUUAUGUGACAAAUAAUUCCGGACGGAGGGAGUAUAUU
rfam:Triticum aestivum genome assembly, contig: Triticum_aestivum_CS42_TGACv1_scaffold_456702_5DS